GUAUCCUGGCUCAGGAUGAACGCUAGCUACAGGCUUAACACAUGCAAGUCGAGGGGCAGCAUGAAAGGAACUUCGGUUCUUUUUGAUGGCGACCGGCGCACGGGUGCGUAACGCGUAUCGAACCUGCCUCAUACUCGGGGAUAGCCUUGCGAAAGUAAGAUUAAUACCCGGCGGUCUCGGAUGGCCGCAUGACUAUCCGAGUGAAGAUUUAUCGGUAUGAGAUGGCGAUGCGUCCCA
rnacentral:rRNA from 1 species